AGAGUUUGAUUCUGGCUCAGAACGAACGCUGGCGGCAGGCUUAACACAUGCAAGUCGAACGCCCCGCAAGGGGAGUGGCGCACGGGUGCAAAACGCGUGGGUAUCUGCCUUUCUGUUCGGAACAACAUCGGGAAACUGAUGCUAAUACCGGAUAUACCAAUGGAUUAUGGUGAUCUGUUGGGAAAGAUUUAUCGCAGAAAGAUGAUCCCGCGUCUGAUUAGCUAGUUGGUGAGGUAACGGCUCACCAAGGCGACGAUCAGUAGCUGGUCUGAGAGGACGAUCAGCCACACUGGAACUGAGACACGGUCCAGACUCCUACGGGAGGCAGCAGUGGGGAAUAUUGGACAAUGGGGGAAACCCUGAUCCAGCCAUGCCGCGUGAGUGAUGAAGGCCUUCGGGUUGUAAAGCUCUUUUGGGUGGGACGAUAAUGACGGUACCACCAGAAUAAGAUCCGUCAAACUUCGUGCCAGCAGCCGCGGUAAUACGAAGGGAUCUAGCGUUGUUCGGAUUUACUGGGCGUAAAGGGCGCGUAGGCGGUCAGACAAGUAAGGCGUGAAAGCCCCGGGCUUAACCCGGGAACUGCGCUUUAAACUGUCUGGCUAGAGUAUGGGAGAGGUAAGUAGAAUUUCCAGUGUAGAGGUGAAAUUCGUAGAUAUUGGAAAGAAUACCAGUGGCGAAGGCGGCUUACUGGACCAUAACUGACGCUGAGGCGCGAAAGCGUGGGGAGCAAACAGGAUUAGAUACCCUGGUAGUCCACGCCGUAAACGAUGUCUGCUAGACGCUGGGAGGUUUACCUUUCAGUGUCGCCGCUAACGCAUUAAGCAGACCGCCUGGGGAGUACGGCCGCAAGGUUGAAACUCAAAGAAAUUGACGGGGGCCCGCACAAGUGGUGGAGUAUGUUGUUUAAUUCGACGCUACGCGCAGAACCUUACCAGGGCUUGACUUGCCCCUCGCGAACCCCAGAAACGGGGUUCUUCAGUUCGGCUGGAGGGAGUACAGGUGCUGCAUGGCUGUCGUCAGCUCGUGUCGUGAGAUGUUGGGUUAAGUCCCGCAACGAGCGCAACCCCUAUCUUUAGUUGCCAUCAGGUAAGGCUGGGCACUCUAAAGAAACCGCCGGUGACAAGCCGGAGGAAGGCGGGGAUGACGUCAAGUCCUCAUGGCCCUUAUGUCCUGGGCUACAAACGUACUACAAUGGUGGUGACAGUGGGUUGCAAUGCCGCGAGGCGGAGCCAAUCCCCAAAAGCCAUCUCAGUUCAGAUAGGACUCUGCAACUCGAGUCCUUGAAGUUGGAAUCACUAGUAAUCGUGGAUCAGCAUGCCACGGUGAAUACGUUCCCGGGCCUUGUACACACCGCCCGUCACGCCAUGAGAGUUGGAUUUACCUGAAGUCGGUGCGCUAACCGUAAGGAAGUAGCCGACCACGGUAGGUUUAGCGAUUGGGGCGAAGUCGGAACAAGGUAGCCGUUUCGGAAGGAGCGGCUG
rnacentral:rRNA from 1 species